UGGCACGAGCCCAGCCACGGUGCUGUGACCGGCGCAUUCUGCACUGCUGCCUCAGUGGUUUCCUAAACUUUACCUCUGACACAAAGCUUGACCACCCGCAGUGUAAGAUUGUUAAUAUUGUUUUUUCCUGUUCUGUAAUUGUCAUCUUUCUGUGUCUCGGUUUCUUCAGACAUGUAGUGACCAUACUAGAGGCUUUGUUUCUUAACAGCAUUGUUGAAGGGCAGGGUUCUUCUGUAUAUAGUUUUUGUCUUUUCACAUUUCUUAUUUUCAUGCGUGUGUUGGGAUGAGGAUAAAUGCAGUUGAUCAUGUUUAAAUAGUAUGCAAAACAAAACAACAUAACCAUUUCUUACCUCUAUGGAAGGUUUCCAUAAUAGUGCUGAAAUUUUCCUACUAGAUUAUGCAGUCUUUCUUUCUUUCUCUUUCUUCCUUCCUUCCUUUCUUUCUUUCUUUCUUUCUUUCUUUCUUUCUUUCUCUCUCUCUCUCUCUCUCUUUCUUUCUUUCUUUCUUCCUUGCUUCCUUGCUUCCUUCCUUCCUUCCUCCCUCCCUCCCUCCCUUCCUUUCUUCCUUUCUUUUUCUUUAAUUCUUAAAAUCUUAAAAUACUUAAGAAUUUUUACUUGGACCAUGGUGGUGUGUGCUUUUAGUCCCAGUACUUAGACAUAGGCAGGUGAUCUCUGUGAGGUUAAGGCUAGCCUGGUCUACCUAGCGAAUUCCAAGACAGUCAGGCUACAUAGAGAGACCCUGUCACAAAACAAAACAAAAACUUCAACAAAAUUUUGUGUGUAUGUGGGGGGGGGGGGCUGUGUGUGUGUAUACACAUGGGCAUGGAUUCAUGUAUGAGCAUAUGGAACUUAAAAAAUAACAUAGAAAGUACGUAAGGUGGCACAUGUCUAUAAUCUCAGCAACCUGUAGUUUCAAACUUUGAGAGCUGUGAUCAGGAGAAUUACAAAUUCAAGACCAGCCUGGGCUACAUAGUAAGACCUUGUCUCAAAUACAAACAAAUGAAAAUUCACCAACUUUGAUACACUGAAUAGCAGAAAGAUUUAAUACUGUUUCCUAUAGCAGACAUUUGGUUAAGAAUCUUGGGGUUUUUUUCUUCUUCUUCUUUUUCUUUUUUUCUUUUUUUAAGUUGUACCUGGUAGUGUAAGUCUUUAAUACCAGCUAUUUGUGAGUCUGAGGCAGGAGAAUUCUAGGUUCAAGACCAGCAUGAUAUGGAGGUGAGGGCUCUAAGCUCUUUCAUAUACUUCUGUCUAUAUCAGUUCCAAAGGAUUAUUGAAGUUGCGUGAAAAAAACUUAGUUCUUUUCCAUAAUGAUGGGAAAAAAACCAUCCCACUGCUGAAAUCCUCUAACUAGAAAACCUAGCCCAUAAAAUAGCUGAAAGUAGCUUGACAUUUGAAUCAUGCAUUGUCCAAAAGGGUUCAUUCUGUAGCUUUUAAAUGAAGUUUAAUUUUAAGUGUUGUCCUGGGAGUUAGUGACGUCAGAAAGAUCUAGCCAAUCAUGCAGUCUAAAGGCAAGCUGAGCGUGCUGGGAUGAGAGAGGCCUGGGCUAUGCAGUGAGACCUGUCUCAGAAAACAAAAAGCACACUGUGUUAGAAAUUCUCAGAACAGAGCAAUGAAUCAUUGCUACAUUUUGUUAUUUACUUACCACUAAAGGCUUAUAUAUUAUCCAGAGCUGUCUGGCUAUUUUGUGUACUAAGAGUAUUUCAGCUCUAAGACACUCAUUAUGAAAAUGUUCAUCUAUCAAAGCUGCAGCUUUGUUCAGAGCUGUCACAAACUGUCACAGUUUGUUAAGAAACAUGUGAAAUAAUUGGUAAACCUGGAUGGGGUGGCUCUUGCCAGUAAACAGGUAUGCGAGAAGCUGAGAUGGUCAGAUUGCCAUGGGUCUAAGGUCAACUUGAGUUACAGGGCAAAGAUCUUUUUUCCAAAAAGCACAUGGAGGAAGUUCGUGAAGCUGUCCCACAUACUUGGCAGUAAUCAGGUGGGUUAAUGUAACAGUGGCAGGCAGAGGUUUUGUGUCUUGAGUUGUCCUUUGUGGUUCUCGGGGUCAUCACAGAACUCAGCUCUCCUUACAAAUUAGAGUCUUGUAAUUUGGUCUAAGAAUAAGGAAUCCUGUGCUUUGUCACUGCUCAUACCUGUAACCUUGGGAAAUUUACUCAGGACCUCACAGUCAGCGCCCUCAUCCGAGCAGUGAAGCUGUGCUCUGCGUAUUGGAAGACCGAUCACAGAACAAUAUCAAGGUUCAUGAAGUGUCUUUAUGAUGAGAUUCCAUUGCAGGGUCCAAAAUAGAUCCUGUUUCUUUAAGAGAACUUAAAUGGCCUCUGGCAACUUGAGUUUGACCAUUUCUAUGCAGAAUCUUGUGGUUUUUAUUAUAAAUUGUAAUUGUAUUUCUUUGGUUUUGAGGUUAAUAACUUCCUGCAUUUCAAGUUUGUUUCACUGCUAUCUGGAAACAGGUGAAUUCUCUUCAGCUGUGUUUUUCCCUGGCUUAAAUGUUCUUCCUGUAUGAAGGAACACACACAGACACACAGAGAGACAUACAUACAUACAUACACACGUACAUACAUACACACACAUACAGAUAUACACAGACAAACAGAUACACACACACACACACACACACACACACACACACACAGAUACACAGUUGUAUUCAUGAAUAGCUACCUUCGUCUUUCAGAAAAUAGAAUCAUUAACUUCCCAUUUCUAAUGCUAUGGAUGUUGUGAUUGAGACUAGGUAUCUGGUCUGUCAGCCUAACACUUGUAUGACAAACACCUAAGGGGAACAGUUUUUAAAGGAAGAAAGGAGACAGGCCUUGCAGACCUGUAAUACCAACUACUCAAAAAGCUGCGGCAGGAGGAUUGUAAGUUUAAGCCUGCUUGAACUACGGAGUGAGUUCAAGGCCGGGUUGGACAAUGUCAUGAUAUUUCAUCUUAGAAAUAAAAAUUUAAAACCCCAAAGUCUGGGGACAGAACUCAGUGAUGGGUUACUUGCCUGGUGUGGGCAAAGCCCUGAAUUAAAUCAAUAACACUCUCUUCCCCCUUUAAAGUGAGGAAAUGUAUGUCUCAGCUCACAGUCUUAGGAGAGUCUUCACUGCCGCUUGACACCGUUGCUCCUGGGUGCUGACGGCUGACGUCCUUCAUGAGAGAAGGAUGUGGUGGAGCUAAGUAGGUCAUUCGGUAAUGAACCAUGUCCUCCAGAGCCACAGCAGGCUAGCGAAAGACGACUUUAAGCAGCUCUUUGACAGCUAGAAUGAUGCCUUCAAGAACACUGUAGGCAGAGUUUAGAAGGGAAGUGAGAGGCAUUGUGGGUGUGAGAUCUUAUAACUAAGAAAGAUACUGUUGAAGAGGCUGGGGAAAGGGUACGUCUCUAUCACCGGGCGCAACCAUCUCACUAGGAAACAGAAAACUAGGGUUGAACAAGCUCCUUGCCCAGCAGUGUGCUGUUUGAGAGCAGAGGUUAGCCCUGGAAUUUUCUUUUUUAUUCCACAGGUACCCAAGAACUGGGCAGGGCUUCCUUAGAGUCUAUGUAUCACCUCACCCGCCCUGUAACUUGCUCCUUUUUCUCUGCCUUCUCAGAUUUAACACCCAAAUGCGUUUCUUAGAGUUAGGAAUCAAAUUGUCGUUCACCCUCCAUUUUAGCAGUAAUUGGCAAGACUGAGAUCAACUCUAUUGGCAUAAGUGGAGUACUGAUAUGAAAAGAUUGGGGACAGACAGGAUGUGGUGACACACACCUCUAAUUCCAGUACUCAGGACACAGAGGCAGGAGGAUCUCUGAAUUUGAAGCCAGUCUGGUCUGCAUAGUGAGUUCGAGGACAGCCAGGGCUACAUUGAGACAGCCAGACCCAGACAAACAGCUAUAACAACAACAACAACAACAACAACAACAACAACAACAACAACAACUACAACAACAAAACAAAACAAAACAAAACAAAACAAAAAUGUGAACAAGCAAGAUGAAAGACACCUCUAGCAGUCUAGGGGGAAUUGUUACAUCUCAGGACAGUCUAGGAGGAAUUGUCACACCCUAGGGCAGUCUAGGGGGAAUUGUUACAACCAGAGCAGUCUAGGGGCAGUCUAGGAAGAAUUGUUACAUCUCGGGGAGUGUAAAUGACUGCCAGGCCUCCCCUGUCCCUCCCCCCCCCCCCCGCCUGUCCCCCUCCUUGAAGCUGAGGACUGAACCCAGGUCCUCUGUUCUCUCUCUCUCUUUUUUUUUUUUUUCCUGAGCUGAGGACCGAACCCAGGGCCUUGCACUUACUAGGCAAGCGCUCUACCACUGAGCUAAAUCCCCAACCAGGUCCUCUGUUCUCUUAACUGAAAAAUAAAACCUCAGGAUUUUAGCAGCCUGUAGAAAGAGGCCUGUUGAAUGCAGCCCUGUAGGGAGCCAGUCCCCUCCACUGAAAAUGUAAUUGAGAAACCACUAUGCUGGUCAGCAUCCCUUCCACUAAAGACAUAAUUGAGAAAACGUUGUGCUGUUCAACAUUUCAAGAGUUAAACAGCUUGUAAUCAAAUAAAUCAAAUUCUUUCUGCCUUUCUCUUCUCCUCAAUUCAGACAAAACAGUACAGUUCUGGAUAUGCAAUCAGAUGUGGUUUGUUAGCUGCUCGGCUAGUUUAAUGGGAAGGAAUUAAAUUGGGUCUAUUUGCCAUCAGUCUUGAUAAUUUGUAAGAGAGAGUAGAGAAGACACUGAUGAAAUUCACAGACGAGUGAAUGGAGGUCCCAUCAGGAAAGAAUGAGAGAUUAACUUUAAGGGUCCUAGGGAGACUGGAAAUGGGCAGGAAGUAAAAAUCAGCGUGGAAAAAUGUCUGUAGUUCAUCUGGGGAAAGAAAAAGAAGUCCGGGCAGAAUGGCUGAUAAUCAAGAGAAAGAAAGCCACUGGGGAUAGUGCCUAGGAAAUCAGAUAUCACAGAUGGCUGCCAAGUUUGUGUGGAGUGAUAAUCCUGAAUGUCCCUAUGUUCUCUGUCUGGGAGUGUCCUUCCGCGGCUCAUGUCAGAUGUGCUCGGAUGAAAAUGAAGCGAGGAUAUUAAGUUAUAAUAGGAGUCUCCGGAGAGGGCUUGAUGGACCCAGGUGGCUGUUAAUUGUCUAGCACACUUAAACAUGUCCUCUGCGCAGGCCGCUUUUUCAUAACCCAGUCCUUCUCUUCUUCCUGACCACUUAGCAACUUCAGAACUAUCCAUAAUGCCAACAGAAGAAAGCACAGAGUCCAGGGUUCAGCUUUUCUCUCACCUACGAUGAUCUGUCUACUUUGAGGAGAUGGAGUUAUAGGCAAUUGUGAGCCAUCUGGUUUGAUGCUGGGAACUCAAUAGCAGCAGUGUUUGUUUGGUGUGUGUGUGUGUGUGUGUGUGUGUGUGUUUGCUGGUUAGUUUUUGGGUUUUUGGGGGUUUGAGGUUUUUUUUUUGUCUUGUUUUGGUUUGGUUUUUUUUUUGUUUGUUUGUUUUUUGUUUUGUUUGUUUUUUUGUUUGGUUGUUUUUUGUUUUGUUUGUUUUUGUUUUGUUUUUUGUUUGGUUGGUUGUUUUUGUUGUUUUUGUUUUUGUUUUUGUUUUUGUCUCCCAGCACUCACUGCCACCCUGCCCUGUGUGUGAACAUAACUGAUAAACUAACUUCUAAAGGAAAGUCCCAUCGUGAUGAUGGGCUCAUCACAGAACCUAACCCUGUAGACAGUGAGAGUGGUCAUGGUCAUGGAGGAAGGUCAUGAGGGUUCUGUUGUACAGCAACUUAUCUGUUCCCACAAGCAAGAAAUAGAGCAGCCAAUAAGAGAGCUAGCUGUGAUCAGAAGAAACAGCAAAGAUUAACUAAAUAUAAAACAAACAUCACCAAGGUAUUAUUGCAUGGUAUGUCUUCAGGGCAUGUGCGCGAAAAUAAAUGUUGAAUGUUCGGGUGGCUCAUGGAUCCUUACUCCUUGCCUUCAAGGAUAAUGAAGAAAGAGAGAGGGCCUGGCUGGCUUAGAUUAUUUAUUUACCUGGCAUCCAUGAGGUCUCAGGUUCAAUCCCCAGUACUUCAAAAAAGUUGGGGAAGGGGCUUUAUGUAAAACUUGUCCCCGCAUCUGAUCAGAAUAGCCAUUAUAAUUCUGCUUAAGUGUAUCCAAGCAUGUAAUCAGAAGGGAAAGACUCAUUCAGGAAACAUUUGUCUGCAUAAUUUACAGAAACACCCAAAUUAUGUUUAAUCGACUACCAAUACCCCAUGGUCUCCCAAAUGCAAAAUUAAACUUCUGUUCAGUUCUCUUUUUCAUUCCAUUCUUGCUGUUCAGAUUGCUGGUUACAGAAUAUUUCGUUAUUUUUGUGAUUCCUACACCAGUCAUUCUUCCGUCUCAUAAGCUGACAGGUAAAAGGUCUUGUAAACUGACAAGUCCUAGACCUCCGAGCUCUUACAGAAUCACCCACUUUGUAUCUGAUGGGACGCUCAGAGUUCCGUUUACUUGGGUGUCUAUAGAAUGAAGAAGAGGAGUUUCCCUUGGGCUGGUGACAGCCCUGCAGAAACAUUGACUGCACAGUCUGCCCGCAGGCACUGCGUUCGAAGGUUGUGAAGCCCCAGAUUGUGAAAGUUACUGAGUCGGUGUGAACUGUAAAGGCCAUUCUGAGUGUCUUACGGAAUGUUCUGUUCUUCCUCACUCCGUGAACAUUUGGUGUCUUAAUUUACAUAGUCACAGUCUCGUUAUUGCCUUAGAAAAUGCCCGAGUGCAUUAUCAGCGGCAGACUCGCUCCCUUGUGCUCCUCCUGAGCGCAUGCAGAAGAGAGGUCAUAGCCCUCUGUGGACCAUGUGCUUUCAUCUCCACACGCCCAGCCCGAGUCCAAGCUGGUUUUCCGCUGGUGCCGACAUCUGGAAGUAUACAAGCAGGGAGGCGGUGCAAUCACUUACAUUUGGUUAGCUAAGUGGCUAAUUGCAGAUCCUCAGUUAAGAUUCAGUGUACUAGAAAUUUUUAAAUCAUUAUGGCUUAUCAUGGUGAAGUCUGGGUCAUAGCUACUUUACAAAUGUAAAUGAUAUUACCACCCUCCCUUCUCUGAUCCCUGCUAAGGGAGAGGAACAGUUCGAAGGAGUGUCUACUUACCUGAGAAGCAGAUACUAAAGAACUCUUACAGGAAGUUGCACGUCCUCCUGCCCAGAGCUGUCACUUCCGAAUGUCUUUAAUAUGUGUUCCUGGCACAUUAGCCUACAUCAGCGGCCAUCCCUGUAGAAGCUGGCCCUUGCUCUUCUGUCUCACCGGUCCCCAGUCCUGCCCCAUGAAUGUAACUUCAGGCCACGCUGACCAAUGUCCUUUAGAAAUCGUGAUGUUGAAAAGCCCUCAGACUUCACUCAGAAAUCCCAUCUACAACUUGCUUUAAAUUAAAGAAGAGCACAGGACAAGAGAAACCAAGAGGAAAAAAGAGGCCUCUCGCUGUCUGACUCACAUCUAUCUUCUUGCUCAGAGCUGGUCUUUCCGAUGACUUGAGCCACCAGAACCGAACUCCUUUCCUAAUUUGUUUGUCCCAGAAACCUGCCCUCCCAUGUGUUAAAGAUGGAAAUAAAGAAUUCCGGUCUCUGUUCUCCCUAA